rnacentral:rRNA from 1 species
UUCUUCGGAACCUAGCGGCGAAUGGGUGAGUAACACGUGCUUAAUCUACCCUUCAGAUUGGAAUACCCAAUGGAAACAUUGGCUAAUGCCGGAUACGCAUGGAAUCGCAUGAUUCCGUUGUGAAAGGGGCCUCAAAGCCCYACUGAAGGAUGAGGGUGCGGAACAUUAGUUAGUUGGUAGGGUAAUGGCCUACCAAGACUAUGAUGUUUAGCCGGGUCGAGAGACUGAACGGCCACAUUGGGACUGAGAUACGGCCCAAACUCCUACGGGAGGCAGCAGUAGGGAAUAUUCCACAAUGAGCGAAAGCUUGAUGGAGCGACACAGCGUGCACGAUGAAGGUCUUCGGAUUGUAAAGUGCUGUUAUAAGGGAAGAACACUCAGAGGAGGAAAUGCCUUUGAGCUGACGGUACCUUGUCAGAAAGCGAUGGCUAACUAUGUGCCAGCAGCCGCGGUAAUACAUAGGUCGCAAGCGUUAUCCGGAAUUAUUGGGCGUAAAGCGUUCGUAGGCUGUUUAUUAAGUCUGGAGUCAAAUCCCGGGGCUCAACCCCGGCUCGCUUUGGAUACUGAUAAACUAGAGUUGGAUAGAGGUAAGCGGAAUUCCAUGUGAAGCGGUGAAAUGCGUAGAUAUAUGGAAGAACACCAAAGGCGAAGGCAGCUUACUGGGUCUAUACUGACGCUGAGGGACGAAAGCGUGGGGAGCAAACAGGAUUAGAUACCCUGGUAGUCCACGCCGUAAACGAUGAUCAUUAGUCGGUGGAGAGUUCACUGACGCAGCUAACGCAUUAAAUGAUCCGCCUGAGUAGUAUGCUCGCAAGAGUGAAACUUAAAGGAAUUGACGGGGACCCGCACAAGCGGUGGAGCAUGUGGUUUAAUUUGAAGAUACACGGAGAACCUUACCCACUCUUGACAUCUUCCGCAAAGC